GAUGAACGCUGGCGGCGUGCCUAAUACAUGCAAGUCGAGCGAACAGACGAGGAGCUUGCUCCUCUGACGUUAGCGGCGGACGGGUGAGUAACACGUGGAUAACCUACCUAUAAGACUGGGAUAACUUCGGGAAACCGGAGCUAAUACCGGAUAAUAUAUUGAACCGCAUGGUUCAAUAGUGAAAGACGGUUUUGCUGUCACUUAUAGAUGGAUCCGCGCCGCAUUAGCUAGUUGGUAAGGUAACGGCUUACCAAGGCAACGAUGCGUAGCCGACCUGAGAGGGGUGAUCGCCCACACUGAACUGGGACAAGGUCCAGAACUCUAAGGGAGGCAGGCGUAGGGAAUCCUCCGCAAUGGGCGAAAGCCUUACGGAGCAACCGCGGGUGAGGGAUGAAGGUUCUUCGAUCGGAAAACCUCGUUAAUAGGGAAGAACAAAUGUGUAAGGUAACAUUCCCGGCUUGAAGGUAACUAAUCAGAAAGGCACGGCUAACUACGUG
rnacentral:rRNA from 1 species